GGGUGAGUAACGCGUGGAAAUCUGCCUUAGACUGGGGGAUAACCUGGGGAAACUCGGGCUAAUACCGCAUAUUACCGAGAGGUGAAAGAUUUAUCGGUCUAAGAUGAGUCUGCGUAUGAUUAGCUAGUUGGUAGGGUAAAAGCCUACCAAGGCAAUGAUCAUUAGCUGGUUUGAGAGGAUGACCAGCCACAAUGGAACUGAUACACGGUCCAUACUUCUACGGAAGGCAGCAGUAGGGAAUUUUGCGCAAUGGACGAAAGUCUGACGCAGCAAUGCCGCGUGUAGGAAGAAGCAUUUUGGUGUGUAAACUACUGUCAGUGGGGAAUAAAAAAAUGAAUGUACCCAAAGAGGAAGCACCGGCUAACUACGUGCCAGCAGCCGCGGUAAGACGUAGGGUGCAAGCGUUGUCCGGAUUUAUUGGGCGUAAAGAGCUCGUAGGCGGUAUUUUAAGUCUGAUGUUAAAUCAUGGAGCUCAACUUCAUCAUGGCAUCAGAAACUGAAGUACUAGAGUUAAGUAGGGGUCAGAGGAAUUCCUGGUGUAGCGGUGAAAUUCGUAGAUAUUGGGAGGAACACCAGUGGCGUAAGCGGCCAACUAGACGAUUACUGACGCUCAUGCACGAAAGUGUGGGGAUCAAACAGGAUUAGAUACCCUGGUAGUCCACACCGUAGACGAUGUGUGCUAGCUUCUGGGCAGCUUGCUGCUCGGUGGCGCAGCUAACGCACUAAGCACACCGCCUGGGGAGUACGGUCGCAAGAUUAAAACUCAAAGGAAUUGACGGGGACCCGCACAAGCGGUGGAGCAUGUGGUUUAAUUCGACGCAACGCGAAGAACCUUACCAGGCCUUGACAUCCCGAUUGAGGAGAGCAGAGACGCUUUCCGUCAUUUAGUUGGAUCGGUGACAGGUGCUGCAUGGCUGUCGUCAGCUCGUGUCGUGAGAUGUUGGGUUAAGUCCCGCAACGAGCGCAACCCUUAUCUCCUGUUGCCAGCAUUUAGUUGGGCACUCAGGCGAAACUGCCGGUGAUAAGCCGGAGGAAGGUGGGGACGACGUCAAGUCAUCAUGGCCCUUACGGCCUGGGCUACACACGUGCUACAAUGGUAAUCACAAUGGGCUGCUACCCUGCGAAGGGAUGCAAAUCUCCAAAGAUUAUCUCAAUUCGGAUUGUUCUCUGCAACUCGAGAGCAUGAAGCCGGAAUCGCUAGUAAUCGUGGAUCAGCAUGCCACGGUGAAU
rnacentral:rRNA from 1 species